rnacentral:rRNA from 1 species
UUAGGAAUCUUCCGCAAUGGGCGAAAGCCUGACGGAGCGACACCGCGUGAAGGAUGAAGCCCUUUUUGGGUGUAAACUUCUGUUCUGAGGGACGAAAUUUUUGACGGUACCUCAGGAGAAAGCACCGGCUAAUUCUGUGCCAGCAGCCGCGGUAAGACAGAAGGUGCAAGCGUUACUCGGAAUUACUGGGCGUAAAGCGUCUGUAGGUGUCCUGCCACGUCUGGCCUCAAAUCCCAAGGCUCAACCUUGGAUCUAGGCUGGAUACGAGCGGGAUCGAGUCAUUCAGAGGCAUCUGGAAUGUCGUGUGUAGGGGUAAAAUCCGUAGAUACACGAUGGAACGCCAAAAGCGAAGGCAGGAUGCUAGGAAUGCACUGACACUCAGAGACGAAAGCGUGGGGAGCAAAGGGG